GAAGGACUGGGGAGUGUGUGCCGCGGUGGGAUGCUGGGCUGUUUACUAGCGACAUAUUUCUCCUCAGGGCGAAUGGUACAUUCCGGGGCUGCGGGCGGAAGCGGUCUCUCUCUUUCCUUUGGCUCCUGGAGGCGAGGCGCAAGAUGGCGGCGCUGGGGUAUCUCACAUUUCUCAUCUCAAUCCUAAUAUCUGUGUCAAAUUUACAAGCUUUGACUCCUAGUCAUUUUCUCACAAAACAUGAUGUUCAGAGGUUACGAGCUUCAUUGGAGCGUCCAUUCACCGAUUUGGAAGGAAGUUAUUACUCUAUUGUGGGACUGAACAAACUAGGAGGAAAUGUGGCUGAUGAAAAGGCUGCCUGUAACUUCAUCAAAUCUAAGAUGGACCCAAAUAGCAUUGAUUCCCUCUUCUAUGCUGCACAGGCCAGCCAAGCAUUGUCUGGAUGUGAGCUUGCCAUUUCAAAUGAGACUAGAGAGCUACUACUUGCUGCUGUCAGUGAAGAUUCUUCAGUAAGCCAGAUCUACCAUGCUGUUGGAGCCUUGAGUGGCUUUGGACUGCCUCUUGCUUCCCAAGAAGCCCUGACUGCCCUCACUUCGCGCCUUAGCAAGGAAGAGAAUGUCUUGGCAACAAUCCAAGCUUUGCAGACAGCAUCCUACCUAUCCCAGCAGGCGGACUUAAGAAGCAUUGUGGAAGAGAUAGAGGAUCUUGUUGCCCGACUGGAUGAUCUAGGAGGAGUGUAUCUACAGUUUGAGGAAGGGCUUGAAACAACUGCAUUGUUUGUGGCUGCUACUUACAGACUCUCUGACCAUGUAGGGACAGAACCAGCAAUGAAAGAGGAUCAGAUCAUCCAGCUGGUGAAUGCAAUUUUCAGCAAGAAGAACUUUGAGAUUCUUUCUGAAGCUUUCAGUGUGGCUUGUGCUGCAGCUUCCCUUUCACAAAACAAUUAUCAUUUGCCAGUCAUUGCAGUCCCUGAGGGACCUGCUGCUGUUUCUCACCAUCAGACCAUUCUCAAACUCCAGGUGACAAAUGUUAUGUCACAGCCACUGACUCAAGCAAGUGUGAACUUAGAUCAUGCAAAAUCUGUUGCUACUAAAGCCACUGUCCUCCAGCAGUCUGCCUUUUCCCUGACUGGAGAUAUCUUUGAGCUAAACUUCAUGAAUGUCAAACCUGCCAGUGGCUAUUAUGAUUUUGCAAUCAGUAUUGAUGGGGACAGUCGAUUUAUUGCAAACAAAGUUGAGCUGAAAGUCAAGGUUUCAACUGAAGUUGGCAUUUCUAAUGUGGAUCUCUUUACUGUGGAUAAAGAUCAGAGCAUUGCACCAAAAACUACCAGGGUCACUUAUCCCGCCAAAGCCAAAGGAUCCUUCACUGCUGACAGCCAUCAGAAUUUUGCCUUGUCCUUCCAGCUGGUCGAUGUGAACACUGGAGCAGAACUCAUCCCUCACCAGACUUUCGUACGUCUUCACAAUCAGAAGACUGGGCAGGAAGUGGUGUUUGUUGCAGAACCAGACAGCAAAAACAUCUACAAGUUUGAGCUGGAUACUUCUGAAAGGAAAACAGAGUUUGAUUCAGUCUCGGGGACUUAUACUCUUUAUUUGAUCAUUGGUGAUGCUACUCUAGAAAACCCAAUCCUCUGGAACGUGGCUGACAUUGUCAUAAAAUUCCCAGAAGAAGAUGCUCCAUCCACAGUCCAGUCAAAAAGUCUUUUCACUCCAAAACCGGAGAUACAGCACCUAUUCAGAGAACCAGAGAAGAGGCCUCCCACUGUGGUAUCUAACACAUUCACAGCCAUGAUACUCUCCCCAUUGCUUUUGCUCUUUAUCCUGUGGAUAAAGAUCGGAGCCAACAUUUCCAACUUUAGCUUUGCUCCCAGCACCAUUAUAUUCCAUCUGGGUCAUGCAGCUAUGUUAGGACUCAUGUAUGUCUACUGGACACAACUCAAUAUGUUUCAGACCCUGAAGUACCUGGCUAUACUUGGCAGCAUUACCUUCCUAGCAGGCAACAGAAUGUUGGCACAUAAAGCUGUGAAAAGGAUCGCUGCAGAACAGAGCAGUAGGUUGGCAAAAUAUAGAACACUGCGGUAAAAGGGGGUUGUACUAGUGACCAGCUCUUCCUAGAAGAAAGACAUGAAGCUAUCAGUUGAGAGGUAUUCUAAUAAGAACACACUAAUGUCAGAAGAAAGGAAGAACUGAAGGUACAAAGGAAAGGAGCCAAAGAAGAGAUUGAAGGCCAGAAACUGAAAUGUGGAAAAUACUUCUGUGUAAUGCUGGAAAGAGUCUCUUUUUACAGGAAAGAAGUGUUUUUCCCCACGGAUUCUGUUCAGUGUCUUAAAUACUCUGUAUUAUGACAUAAAAACCUUGUCUAUACCACCAAGAAUUGUAGAAACUGAUGGGCUCCAAAAUUGUUGUUUUGUUGUUGUUUUUCUAUUUUCCUUAUCAAAUAAAGUGGAUAAGACAAAUGGA